AGUGAACGCUGGCGGCGUGCUUAACACAUGCAAGUCGAACGAUGAAGCUUUAGCUUGCUAGAGCGGAUUAGUGGCGCACGGGUGAGUAAUGUAUAGUUAAUCUGCCCUUUAGAGGGGGAUAACAGUUGGAAACGACUGCUAAUACCCCAUACUCCUUCUAUAUUAAUUAUAGUUGGGAAAGUUUUUCGCUAAAGGAUGAGACUAUAUGGUAUCAGCUAGUUGGUGAGGUAAUGGCUCACCAAGGCAAUGACACCUAGCUGGUCUGAGAGGAUGAUCAGCCACACUGGAACUGAGACACGGUCCAGACUCCUACGGGUGGCUG
rnacentral:rRNA from 1 species